rnacentral:rRNA from 1 species
AGAGUUUGAUCCUGGCUCAGGACGAACGCUGGCGGCGUGCUUAACACAUGCAAGUCGAGCGGAAAGGCCCUUCGGGGGUACUCGAGCGGCGAACGGGUGAGUAACACGUGAGCAAUCUGCCCUUAGCUUCGGGAUAGCUCCGGGAAACCGGAAUUAAUACCGAAUACGACUGCGGCCGACAUCGGCCAUAGUGGAAAGUU